rnacentral:rRNA from 1 species
GACGAACGCUGGCGGCGUGCCUAAUACAUGCAAGUCGAACGAGAGCGACCGGUGCUUGCACUGGUCAAUCUAGUGGCGAACGGGUGAGUAACACGUGGGUAACCUGCCCAUCAGAGGGGGAUAACAUCCGGAAACGGAUGCUAAAACCGCAUAGGUCUUCGAACCGCAUGGUUUGAAGAGGAAAAGAGGCGCAAGCUUCUGCUGAUGGAUGGACCCGCGGUGCAUUAGCUUGUUGGUGUGGUAACGGCUCACCAAGGCGGUGAUGCAGAGCCGACCUGAGAGGGUGAUCGGCCACAUUGGGACUGGAACACCGCCCAAACUCCUGCGGGAGGCAGCAGUAGGGAAUCUUCCGCAAUGGACGGAAGUCUGACGGAGCAACGCCACGUGAGUUAAAAAGGUUUUCGGAUCGUAAAACUCUGUUGUUAGAGAAGAACAAGUGCUAGAGUAACUGUUAGCGCCUUGACGGUAUCUAACCAGAAAGCCACGGCUAACUACGUG